rnacentral:vault_RNA from 1 species
GCGCAGGCUUUGCUAAGUGGUUACUUCGCAAGUACAGAAUUUAAGUUUCUCGCAACUGCUACACAGACCACUGGCGCAAUCCUGCGUUUUU